rnacentral:lncRNA from 1 species
AAUGAAGAACAGCAACACUGCGAUGACAAUACUUUGGAUAAAGUCGAACUGUCGUUCACACUUAUCCACUGGUGUUGGAGGUUUUUCCUCGUCGCAACUGUCAACCAUGUGAGUUCUAAGUUUCAUCUUUGUUUCUCCUUCUCUGUUUAAUUCUGUUACUUCACAGCUGUAAUUUCCAUCCGGUGCUUCUGCAUUUUUAAGUCGUAGCGAGGCAAUACCCUUAAAUAAAUCCGCCUUAGAAAGGAAGUUAGCUGAUGGAACUGACUCGUGCCUGUAAAUGCGCUGUUCUGGUCCAUUAAAAGAAAAAAUUACUUGUCCUUGCCUCUUCCACGAAACAUGCAUGCUGCUGUCAUUGUUCUCCUUCAGGUUAGUCACGAUGCAAGGUAAAACAACUGUAUCGUUACAGGCAUAUUUCUCAACAAAAUCUACUGCGUUAAACACCAGCUGGGUGGAACCUGCGCCCAGGACGGCGAGGAGCGCUCCGACGGUCAGCAACCACAUGGCGGAGCGCCAGCGGGCAACGCGGCCGGCUACCGACCGACCUCCACAGCCGCCGCCGCAGCGGGAUAACCGGG